CCUCUCCGUCUCUCUUUCUUUACCCUCUGUCUCUCUCGAAGGCGAUUUGAUUCAGAAGGGGGAUUUCUCUGAAAAUUGGGUAAAGCAAAGGUUAAUCUGCCGUCAAUCGGUUGCAAUAGGAAGAGAUUUCAAAUGAUAAAAUUUGUUGCUUUGGUCGUAUUUCGAAUGGGAUAGAAAGCUUUAGUCAAUUCCUACAUGCCACACGUAAAGGAAGCCUCACAUAAAGAUAAAUCACAUAACAAGUAGCAACCAAUCACCCUGUCAAAGGUAAAUAAUCGAUUCUAUUAGCAUCAAAAAUGUCAAUUUCUUGUUGUUUGUUGUAUACUUGGGGUAUGUUGUGGUAUCAUUUUUUGAUUUGGUAGAGAAGUUCAUAUGUUUUGUAUCUUUAGAUUCGUCAAGUGUAUCUUUAGACUAGUUCAUAUGAUUUGGUAGACUAGUUCAUAUGUUUUGUAUCUUUAGCUGCUUAUAUAAAGCUGCGAGUAUAUGUAAUGUUGCAUUUGCAUUAAUAUAUGUAACUAAAGCUAGUUAUAUAAAGCUGCGAGUAUAUAUAUUGUUGCAUUUGCAUUAAUAUAUGUAACUGACAGUAUAACUAAGUUUGUGUAACUAAAAGUUUCAAAAAUGUAGUUGGUGUACUUGAUGUUUGUUGUCAUAAAUUGUGAUUAGACUUAGGUAGUUGAAGCUUUGGUCAUAAAGU